UGCAGUCGAGCGGUAGAGAGAAGCUUGCUUCUCUUGAGAGCGGCGGACGGGUGAGUAAUGCCUAGGAAUCUGCCUGGUAGUGGGGGAUAACGUCCGGAAACGGACGCUAAUACCGCAUACGUCCUACGGGAGAAAGCAGGGGACCUUCGGGCCUUGCGCUAUCAGAUGAGCCUAGGUCGGAUUAGCUAGUUGGUGGGGUAAUGGCUCACCAAGGCGACGAUCCGUAACUGGUCUGAGAGGAUGAUCAGUCACACUGGAACUGAGACACGGUCCAGACUCCUACGGGAGGCAGCAGUGGGGAAUAUUGGACAAUGGGCGAAAGCCUGAUCCAGCCAUGCCGCGUGUGUGAAGAAGGUCUUCGGAUUGUAAAGCACUUUAAGUUGGGAGGAAGGGCAGUAAAUUAAUACUUUGCUGUUUUGACGUUACCGACAGAAUAAGCACCGGCUAACUCUGUGCCAGCAGCCGCGGUAAUACAGAGGGUGCAAGCGUUAAUCGGAAUUACUGGGCGUAAAGCGCGCGUAGGUGGUUCGUUAAGUUGGAUGUGAAAUCCCCGGGCUCAACCUGGGAACUGCAUUCAAAACUGACGAGCUAGAGUAUGGUAGAGGGUGGUGGAAUUUCCUGUGUAGCGGUGAAAUGCGUAGAUAUAGGAAGGAACACCAGUGGCGAAGGCGACCACCUGGACUGAUACUGACACUG
rnacentral:rRNA from 1 species